CUUCGGUUGAUUCCGGCCGGACCCGACUGCUAUCAGAGUGGGACUAAGCCAUGCGAGUCAACGCCGCAAGGCGUGGCAUACGGCUCAGUAACACGUAGUCAACAUGCCCAGGGGACGUGGAUAACCUCGGGAAACUGAGGAUAAACCGCGAUAGGCCAAGGUUUCUGGAAUGGACACUGGCUGAAACCUAUAUGGCCCCUGGAUUGGACUGCGGCCGAUCAGGCUGUUGGUGAGGUAAUGGCCCACCAAACCUGUAACCGGUACGGGCUUUGAGAGAAGGAGCCCGGAGAUGGGCACUGAGACAAGGGCCCAGGCCCUAUGGGGCGCAGCAGGCGCGAAACCUCUGCAAUAGGCGAAAGCUUGACAGGGUUACUCUGAGUGAUGUCCGCUAAGGGCAUCUUUUGGCACCUCUAAAAAUGGUGCAGAAUAAGGGGUGGGCAAGUCUGGUGUCAGCCGCCGCGGUAAUACCAGCACCCCGAGUGGUCGGGACGAUUAUUGGGCCUAAAGCAUCCGUAGCUUGUUCUGCAAGUCCUCCGUUAAAUCCACCUGCUCAACAGAUGGGCUGCGGGGGAUACUACAGGGCUAGGAGGCGGGAGAGGCAAACGGUACUCAGUGGGUAGGGGUAAAAUCCUCUGAUCCACUGAAGACCACCAGUGGCGAAGGCGGUUUGCCAGAACGCGCUCGACGGUGAGGGAUGAAAGCUGGGGGAGCAAACCGGAUUAGAUACCCGGGUAGUCCCAGCUGUAAACGAUGCAGACUCGGUGAUGGGUUGGCUUCGAGCCAACCCAGUGCCGCAGGGAAGCCGUUAAGUCUGCCGCCUGGGGAGUACGGUCGCAAGACUGAAACUUAAAGGAAUUGGCGGGGGAGCA
rnacentral:rRNA from 1 species